rnacentral:misc_RNA from 1 species
CGCAGCCGCGGUAAUUCCAGCUCCAAUAGCGUAUAUUAAAGUUGUUGCAGUUAAAAAGCUCGUAGUUGAAUUUCGGGAUCAAUUAAUUGGUCGUGCCUCUGGUACGUACUGGUUUUAUUGGUUUCUCCCUUCUGACGAACCAUGAUGUCAUUAAUUUGGUGUCGUGGAGAAUCAGGACUGUUACUUUGAAAAAAUUAGAGUGUUUAAAGCAAGCUAACGCUUGAAUACAUUAGCAUGGAAUAAUGAAAUAGGACGUUUGAUCCUAUUUUGUUGGUUUCUAGGAUCGACGUAAUGAUUAAUAGGGAUAGUUGGGGGCAUUAGUAUUCAAUUGUCAGAGGUGAAAUUCUUGGAUUUAUUGAAGACUAACUACUGCGAAAGCAUUUGCCAAGGAUGUUUUCAUUAAUCAAGAACGAAAGUUAGGGGAUCGAAGACGAUCAGAUACCGUCGUAGUCUUAACCAUAAACUAUGCCGACUAGGGAUCGGAUGAUGUUAAUUUUUUAAUGACUCAUUCGGCGCCCUA